rnacentral:rRNA from 1 species
GAUGAACGCUGGCGGCGUGCCUAAUACAUGCAAGUCGAGCGAACGGACGAGAAGCUUGCUUCUCUGAUGUUAGCGGCGGACGGGUGAGUAACACGUGGAUAACCUACCUAUAAGACUGGGAUAACUUCGGGAAACCGGAGCUAAUACCGGAUAAUAUUUUGAACCGCAUGGUUCAAAAGUGAAAGACGGUCUUGCUGUCACUUAUAGAUGGAUCCGCGCUGCAUUAGCUAGUUGGUAAGGUAACGGCUUACCAAGGCAACGAUGCAUAGCCGACCUGAGAGGGUGAUCGGCCACACUGGAACUGAGACACGGUCCAGACUCCUACGGGAGGCAGCAGUAGGGAAUCUUCCGCAAUGGGCGAAAGCCUGACGGAGCAACGCCGCGUGAGUGAUGAAGGUCUUCGGAUCGUAAAACUCUGUUAUUAGGGAAGAACAUAUGUGUAAGUAACUGUGCACAUCUUGACGGUACCUAAUCAGAAAGCCACGGCUAACUACGUGCCAGCAGCCGCGGUAAUACGUAGGUGGCAAGCGUUAUCCGGAAUUAUUGGGCGUAAAGCGCGCGUAGGCGGUUUUUUAAGUCUGAUGUGAAAGCCCACGGCUCAACCGUGGAGGGUCAUUGGAAACUGGAAAACUCGAGUGCAGAAGAGGAAAGUGGAAUUCCAUGUGUAGCGGUGAAAUGCGCAGAGAUAUGGAGGAACACCAGUGGCGAAGGCGACUUUCUGGUCUGUAACUGACGCUGAUGUGCGAAAGCGUGGGGAUCAAACAGGAUUAGAUACCCUGGUAGUCCACGCCGUAAACGAUGAGUGCUAAGUGUUAGGGGGUUUCCGCCCCUUAGUGCUGCAGCUAACGCAUUAAGCACUCCGCCUGGGGAGUACGACCGCAAGGUUGAAACUCAAAGGAAUUGACGGGGACCCGCACAAGCGGUGGAGCAUGUGGUUUAAUUCGAAGCAACGCGAAGAACCUUACCAAAUCUUGACAUCCUUUGACAACUCUAGAGAUAGAGCCUUCCCCUUCGGGGGACAAAGUGACAGGUGGUGCAUGGUUGUCGUCAGCUCGUGUCGUGAGAUGUUGGGUUAAGUCCCGCAACGAGCGCAACCCUUAAGCUUAGUUGCCAUCAUUAAGUUGGGCACUCUAAGAUGACUGCCGGUGACAAACCGGAGGAAGGUGGGGAUGACGUCAAAUCAUCAUGCCCCUUAUGAUUUGGGCUACACACGUGCUACAAUGGACAAUACAAAGGGCAGCGAAACCGCGAGGUCAAGCAAAUCCCAUAAAGUUGUUCUCAGUUCGGAUUGUAGUCUGCAACUCGACUACAUGAAGCUGGAAUCGCUAGUAAUCGUAGAUCAGCAUGCUACGGUGAAUACGUUCCCGGGUCU